rnacentral:rRNA from 1 species
CUACGGGCUGCUGCAGACGAGAAAACUUUGCAAUGUGCGAAGGCACGACAAGGUUAAUCCGAGUGGUUUGUGCUAAACGAACCUUUUGACAGUCCUAGAAACACUGUUGAAUAAGGGGUGGGCAAGUUCUGGUGUCAGCCGCCGCGGUAAAACCAGCACCUCAAGUGGUCAGGAUGAUUAUUGGGCCUAAAGCAUCCGUAGCCGGCUCUGUAAGUUUUCGGUUAAAUCUGUACGCUCAACGUACAGGCUGCCGGGAAUACUGCAGAGCUAGGGAGUGGGAGAGGUAGACGGUACUCGGUAGGAAGGGGUAAAAUCCUUUGAUCUAUUGAUGACCACCUGUGGCGAAGGCGGUCUACCAGAACACGUCCGACGGUGAGGGAUGAAAGCUGGGGGAGCAAACCGGAUUAGAUACCCCGGUAGUC